GUGGGUCAUUUUAGGGGUUUCCUUGGCAGAUGUAUAUGCUGUAUUUUAGAGCACCUCCUCAGUCAUCCUUUAUUUUUCAGCUCUGGAUGGAGUAUUUCUUCAUUUGCUCAAAGCUGUCUGGAACCACAGCUCUGUGACACUCCUUGCAGAAGAGACAGAGAAGCUUCCAAGCAGCUCCAAAAAGAAGAGAAGUCUGGAGCUUCUAAUUAGAAAUCAAAAUGUUUUGAGCAUCGUGAAUUCAUUCUGCCUUCUAGAGCCUAUGUGACUUGAGAGCUAAAGAACACUGCCCUGCAGGCUAAAGUACAUAUCGCUGUGGAUUCAAGGUUCCAAUUAAAACCGUGUUUGGGCCAUUGCUUUGCCUGGCAGUGCUUAAUCUUUCCCGAAAG